UACGAAGGGGGCUAGCGUUGUUCGGAAUUACUGGGCGUAAAGCGCACGUAGGCGGAUCGAUCAGUCAGGGGUGAAAUCCCAGAGCUCAACUCUGGAACUGCCUUUGAUACUGUCGAUCUGGAGUAUGGAAGAGGUGAGUGGAAUUCCGAGUGUAGAGGUGAAAAUUCGUAGAUAUUCGGAGGAACACCAGUGGCGAAGGCGGCUCACUGGUCCAUUACUGACGCUGAGGUGCGAAAGCGUGGGGAGCAAACAGG
rnacentral:rRNA from 1 species